rnacentral:lncRNA from 1 species
UCACAACUUCAUUUGUUCCUCAGAACUGCAGAUGCCCUGUGUGACUCCAGAAGCGGUUAGAAAGAUCAGGCGUGGUUAUCUCCAUUUGCAGCUGAGGUGGCCAAGAGAUAAGAGUUGCUUAAAGUCGGAGUUAGCAAACAACAAAACGGGGUUUCCACACAGAGCUCAGCUUCGGAGCCCAACCCAUCCACUUACUACAAGAAAACGAAAUUCUUGACAUUUUGGGUUAUAUCCGGUAACUUCAAAGGUAAGUGGUUUAUAAUCUUGUUACAAAUUUUUCUGGGAAAUGACAAUCUCAUGCUUUAGUUAACAAAAAUCCAUUUAUUAUGAUAAUUUCCUCACAGGUAAAAGUGAGCACCUCCUAAGAAGGCUGCCAUUUGCUUGGUUUGUAAGAUUGAUUUUCCUACGGGGAGCUUUGCGUAGGACUUUGAAGUUUUUGUUUUAUUUGCUUGGUUGAUUUUUUGAGACAUGGUCUCACUAGGUAGGUCAAGCUGCCCUCCACUCUUUAUUUAGAUGGUUUUAAAAUCCCUACUACUAUUUGUGUACUGAUGAAAUCGGAGGUUUUGCAAUAGAAGUCAUAUUGUCUGAACGGUGCCUUUCAGUUCCUGAUUUAACUCUCUCUCUCUCUCUCUCUCUCUCUCUCUCUCUCUCUGUGUGUGUGUGUGUGUGUGUGUGUGUAAGACUUUUAUUAUGGCAUGACUUACUGUCAUUAAUGUUUAUAUAAUGUUCUACAUCUGCAUGUUAUUUCUAAAUUAGAGUGUACUGUACAUGAGCUGCUAAUUGCAUUAUAGCUGUUAAUAAUGCGUUGCUAAAGGAAAUUUCUUCAGGACAAAGAUAACUGCUGAUCCAGGUGUGGAGCUACACACCUUUGAUUCCAGCACUUGGGAGGCAGAGGCAGGUGGAUCUCUGUGAGUUCAAGACCACCCUGGUCUACAUAUCGAGUUCCAGGCUCGUCAGAACACAGUGAGGCACUCUCUU